UAGGGAAUCUUCCACAAUGGGCGCAAGCCUGAUGGAGCAACACCGCGUGAGUGAAGAAGGGUUUCGGCUCGUAAAGCUCUGUUGUUAAAAAAGAACACGUAUGAGAGUAACUGUUCAUACGUUGACGGUAUUUAACCAGAAAGUCACGGCUAACUACGUGCCAG
rnacentral:rRNA from 1 species